AGGGUGACCAACUCAUUCCUUUGCCUGGAAUUUUCCGUUUUAGCACUUAAAGUCCUAUAUCCCAGGAAACCCUUCAGUUCUAAGCAAACUGGGAUAUUUGGUCACCAUAUUUAAGUUCCAAAUAAACAUUGGACAAGUUUGAAUAGGAGGUGGCACAUUUUAACAAAACAAGUAGUAAUCUUGGUCUUUGCCCUAAAAUGGAACUGUUAACCAAAUACUGUCCAUAUAAAGUAAAGAUUUUCUCAGAACUUGUGCUAUUAUUGUUGGGAGGUGCCUCACGCUUUUAGACAGCAGAAUAGUAUUCCAUUGUAUGACUUCACCAUCAUCUUAUUAAAUCUGUUCCUUACUGAUGGACUUUUCGUGUCUUUCCAGUGUUGUGCUACAAUAAACAAGUCUGCCAUAAAUGUCUUUAUUCAUCUGUUCUGUAAACUGGCAAAUUCUGUGUAACAAUUUGUUUUGAAAAUAAGGUCUUCCUGCUAAAAACAAAACUCAAAAAGCCACAGGAUUAAAGAGUCUUUCAUCUUGG
rnacentral:lncRNA from 10 species